UUCUUUAUGGAGUUACGCAAUUGGUUUCACGGCCAAUCUCAAUCAGAAUAUUUUCUUGGUUUCCUCAUAUUCUCACAUAUUGUAUCAAAUGGUCUGAAGACUUUAACUGAAUCAGUGACUGUUUAUGUGUAUGCUAGCGGUCAUUCCUGCAGAAAUGAAGCCUCAAAUGUAUUUAUCCUUAUGAGACAUGAUACAGAACUCGGUUUAAAGUACUCUAUAGAGUUUUUGUUAGCCAAGAAGCAAGAAAAAAAUAACAUGGAGCUCUUCAAGCACACCUUUAGAAGAUAUCUUGACCAUCUUAUUCUACUGAAGAUCUGAAUCUUUUGUUAAGCACUAGUUCACAGGUAUGUAUUUGCCAAAAAUCAUUAUUAUUGCACUAUAUUUAGUGGUUAACAUGAAAAACAAAUUAUUUUUCCCAUGUGAUGACUUAAAACUCUUUAAAUGUAUUCAGUUAUAAAAUAUACUU